GAAAUCUUUUUUGGUAACACCAUGUGACAGAACUUUUUUCUACAUUGUUAUGGAACACACUAAUGUUAAUUUUUUUCAGUGGCAUUCCGCAUUUAUCAUAUUGUUUGGGCAGUUUAAUUUGGAAAUAAGACAUAGGGGUCAUAGGAAUGGGACAGUAAUAAUUAAAAGCAGUGACAUGUAAGACAGGAUUAAAGUACAUUAGGAUUCUUAUGUAAAAGUUUCCAAGGUUUAGGUUUAGAGAAUGAAUGUUGAUCCAUUGCCUAUUAGGCUUUUGGCAAACAAGUCAUAUUACAACUGUUACCUACUUCUAUGUGAAGAGAUAGUCAAGUUUUGUUAACAAGUCCACAAGAAAAACUCUUAUAACUAAUGACAUCAUAGUGAGGUCAAGAAGUGAAGUACAGAAGUAGCCAUCCUUUUUUUUUUAAGAAUGAUAAAUUUUACAUGGAAUCAGGAGGCUUGCAAGGCAAACAUGAGGCUCCUGUUUCUCAUAGAGUUUUUGUGAUUACUCAGCCUCAACAAUGUUCGACACAUCAAAACUGUUUUCCCUUUCAACUUGUAUUAAAAAUGUCUUCUCCAGACUUUUUUGUGUCAUUACACAAAUCUGUAAAUAUUACCAAGAUUUAUUUGGGGGGGAUGUUAGAAUUUAGGAUUCACAAAAUAGUUAAAAAGCAAACCAAGUAAUUACCACAGGAAGCACACAUUUAUACUGGGUUUUUUCUUUUGGAUAGUUAUAAGUUUCCUAUAUGUUUACUUAGUAAUGUAAAUAAGCUUAAAUGAUAAUAGAAAUAAUGGAUAGAUGAUUGAGCUGUGUGAAUCAGUGAUGACUAGUUCUGUUGGUCUUUAGGUAAACUGGAAAGCAUUUUAGUCUGGUUUUUUAGAAAUGUGUGAGCAGAAAUACAUUACAACUGAGUGACAAAGCCUUUAGAAAUGUAAGGGUAAUAGGUUUAGUUUAUUAUUUUCAGGAACUAGUCUUUUGCAUAUAGUAAUGUCAUUAAUUAGUCUGAGGUCUCUGAGUUUUUUUAAUGAAUGUUUUUAUUUUUUUAAAGCUUGUUUGGGAAUUUCUAAGGGCUGCUGGGGGGUGUAAAUUGGGAAGUCUCUAGAUAAAACCUCUAGGUUUGUUUUGUUUGUUUUAUUGAAUCUGGAACCUGUUUCAAAAUAAAGAAUUUCAAAAGAAAUUGCUGUAAUGAAGAAUUUAAACAUGAUUUUAAAUGUUUGUUUAUAGUCUUUUAGUUAAAUAAAAAUUUAGAGAAUAAGUAUAUUGGUUUAUAAUCAGUGCUAAUGUAGAAAAUAAUUUUUAAGGAUUCUGAUUUUCAUCUAAAUUUGGUUUCCAAUAUUUUGUUCAGAUUUUUUCCUUUUACUCAUGCAAUCAGCUAUUUUUAAUAUGUGACCACAUGACAAACAGAUCUUGUAAUCUUACUGUAUUUUCUGUUUGGCCAUUUUUCAUGGUGGUUUUUGUGUGUGUUAAGAGCUUGGUGAAGUGCUAUAAAUAUCACGUAUUGAAUGAAAUAAGCUUAUUUUAUGAAAACCUGUAAACGACACAAGCAGAAUCUAUUUGCUUUAAAUAAGAGAAUUUGAUAUCCACCAAAAAAGGAAGGACAAGGUAAACUUCUUAUAUACUCUACAUGAGCCUGCUGAAAACAGAAAAAAAAAAUCCAUAGGAAAGCUUAUUUCUGUAGUUAUGCAUCAUAAAAGUGGAACAUUCACAUUUGCAUUAAUUAUCUUUACUAAUCUUUGUUCCUUAUAUAGUAUACUGUAGAGGCUGCCAGAACCAAAAAAGGUCCAUUGUAUGUAAUUCAUUGAAGGUGGAGAAGGAACCUAAUUAUCUUGCCCAGUUCCUUGCCUUCUGCCAGCGCAACAGAUUUCCCUAAGUGAAUGAUGAUUUGUAGUUUGAUCCUGUUUACCUUAACAGUGAAAAUUAUUAGCCAUCGUUACAUACCCUUACAAUUAUGGAAUGUUUGGUCCAUAAUCAAUGGCAAACUAAGGAAAAUCUAAUAUCCUGUAAUUCCUUGUGAUUACUAUUCAGAAUUCUAGAGAGAGAGAUUUCACUGCCAGAGAGGUCUCCUUUGUAACCCAGUUUGGUGUUCAGCCUGGUCUGUGCAGACAGACAUGAAUCACUUAAGAAAUCUAAGGUAUGGUUGCAGUUCAAAUAAACAUUCCUAUUUGGUUUUGUCCUGUCAAAGCCAAAUUGUAUGUCAGUGAAUCUUGUGACUUACAGUGUCUUUGAAGGAUCACAUAGAGUGCAUAAUACACAUUUCAAGGCCAAGAACCAGGCUUUCCCAUGUAGAUGUCCAAAAAAGA